UACGUAGGGGGCAAGCGUUGUCCGGAUUUAUUGGGCGUAAAGAGCGUGUAGGCGGCCAUACAGGUCAGCUGUGAAAACUCGAGGCUCAACCUCGAGACGCCGGUGGAAACCAUCAGGCUAGAGUCCGGAAGAGGAGAGUGGAACUCCUAGUGUAGAGGUGGAAUUCGUAGAUAUUAGGAAGAACACCAGUGGCGAAGGCGGCUCACUGGUCCGGGUACUGACGCUGAGGUGGCGAAAGCGUGGG
rnacentral:rRNA from 1 species